AUAUCUCUCUGUACGGGAAGGAUGAGAAGCUUCGACUAAGGUUCGAUUCGAGCGCAGCGAGAAAGCGUUGCCGCAGGCAACGACCCGAAGGGCGAAGCGCGCAGCGCUGAGUAAU
rnacentral:sRNA from 2 species